AUGGGUUUUUUGUUUUCUAAGUAUCUUGCGAGGCGAGGAACUAGGAUUUCAAAGCGGCGGUCCGGUCAGCGCGUCGGCGGCCGUGAGCGAAAGCGUCGGCGGCAUCACCUUUACCUUGUCUUUGAUGACUGGUCGCUCGGGUAUAGCAUCCGCAAGGUAGACUCAUCGCCUGGCUCUCGUCGCCAAUCCGCUGUGAGGCGCUUGCCUCGGCCUUUCUUCCGAUUACAGGCGCCGCAUGGGUCGCCGGAGUACUUCGCGUCAGCCUUUGGCACCAACAUCUUGUCGAUGCAUCCCAGGUCUACCUCUUGCAACAGCUUGUUAUCCGGGAGCUGUAUCCUCACCUUGGACGUCCGCUCGCGGGCUAUCACGUUUGGCCCUCGGUUGGAAAAUACGAUUACCCUUUGCCCUCGGUGGAAAAAUCCGAUUAAUCCCAUCUAUCUCGCCGUCGACAAUAAGCUAUUCACUCUAAGCAAACACUCCUUCGAGAUACUCUCCUUGGAUCUGCUCAGCCCCGUGCCGCCGGAUCGAUCUGGCAGAGUGAGGUGGUCGUGGGAAGUUCUCACGAAGCAGCCGUUCAAGGUUCGCAACGUCACCUCCUACGCAUUGAACCCCUACAGCCAGUCCUUCCUGGUGAGCACCACGAAGAAAGCUAUUGCGGACACGUUUGCCUUUGACACGGUAAAGCUUUCAUGGAAACAAGUAGGCAAAUGGGCGCUGCCCUUCCACGGCCGCGGCCACUUUGACCCUCUCCUGGGCGCCUUUGUCGGGCUCUCCAAAGAUCCAGACACCUUCGGACAACUCUACUUCUGCUACAUGCCCAGCUCCGACACUGGCCACACCCCUAAGUCGAAGCUCGGCAAGAUGAAACUGCUCAGUGAGGACCCAGCCGAGAGGCAUGUAAGCGCCACCCUCGUCUACAUGGGGCGCCGGAGCAAAUUCUGCCUGAUAGAGUGCGUCUCCAUUGAGGGCGACAGUGCUGAUCAGGAGCUCAAGGAAGAGGGAGUCAUGCCCCGACCUGGCCGCUGUCUUUAUCGUUUGACCACAUUCUCUCUCAGCCAUGACAUGAACGGAGACCCGACCACUGGCGGCAGCUGUCGAGUGCAAUACUACAAAGUGCCCGAAGCAACCACUCCGACGUUCUUGUUUGCAGAUCCUGUUGUAUUUUGGAUGUAA
rnacentral:rRNA from 1 species